GCUAACGGCCAUACCACCCUGAGCAUGUCUGAUCUCGGAAGCUAAGCAGGGUCGGGCCUGGUUAGUACUUGGAUGGGAGACUGCCUAGGAAUACCAGGUGCUGUAAGCU
rnacentral:rRNA from 1 species